UUAGCAACAAACCAGACAAUCACACUCAACAACAAAAAAUAUAGGAGCUCCUGCUGUUGACAAGACUGGUUAAAACAUAAGUCGUUUUUAAAACGGCGCUAACGCACUGAGGACAUAUAAUAUCACCCGAAAGAGAUCUCCGAAUUCAGCGAGAACGGAGGGCUUUUGCCCAGAGUUGAGGUAACGUUAGCUAGCUAGCUAACCGACGAUAACCCGUCUCAAGAGAAAACAGCUUCCCAAGCAUUCCGGAAGAAGGACGAAUCCUGGUCCGAUCGAAGCAAGAAACUCACUAGUUACAUUGCUAACUAAUCAGUCAACGCAAAUAAACUCGAGAUUUUUUUCCUUUGGGAAUGGUUCUCUGUGUGGAUAUAGUAAUCAACCGACAGAGAAAGACGAGGGCCACACGGGUCAGACAGCUAAGCUGUCAUUUUGGGACUCCAACUAUUUUGGACAGCGGGAGUAAUUUAACGUUUGCUCAGUCGGACGUGUGUUUUUGUGGCUGUGCUAACGUUAGCUGACGGAAACGAGAAACGACCCCCAUCGCUGGAACUUUUUCCAGACUGCAGGGCUAGCGAGUUGGCAAAGCCAUGGUUUUUAGGACGAGAGCAAGGUCCGAUUGUGUAGGUAGAGAGUCCUAGCUAGAAUAUUAAAGUUGAGCAAGUGAGCAAAGCUAUAUUAAAACCAACUUAUGUAGCUAUAUUUCAUCCAACGAAGUUGGCUAGCAGGGGAUAUUUUUGGAUCACUUGAACUAGCUACACGAGCACGAAUUGCAAGUGAUACAAGCUGCCCUCUUAAGUAUUUUAUUAUAACUAGCCAAGUGUUGGCAAAUUUUUAUUUUUAUUUUUUAUACGGUUGUUUUUACAAAAGAUUUUUAACUUCCACCUCGGAUGCUGGCUUCAACGUUAAACUGCAAUCAUGAUGGUAUUACAAAGAAAAGCAGAAGACCCCAUAACAGCAGCGCGUCAUGGCGACGGCCUCUAUAACUCCUACAUGAGAACUGACCACCUACUGAAGGAAGAAGCAGACGCACACAGUCCCGCUGGCCUGCCCCCGAU
rnacentral:lncRNA from 1 species